GACAGAGGGUGCAAACGUUGUUCGGAAUUACUGGGCGUAAAGCGCGUGUAGGCGGUUCGUAAAGUCGGAUGUGAAAGCCCUGGGCUUAGCCCAGGAAGUGCAUUCGAAACUCACGAACUUGAGUCCCGGAGAGGAAGGCGGAAUUCUCGGUGUAGAGGUGAAAUUCGUAGAUAUCGAGAGGAACAUCUGUGGCGAAGGCGGCCUUCUGGACGGUGACUGACGCUGAGACGCGAAAGCGUGGGGAGCAAACAGG
rnacentral:rRNA from 1 species